rnacentral:rRNA from 1 species
GACGUAGGGGGCCAGCGUUGUUCGGAAUUACUGGGUGUAAAGGGUUCGUAGGUGGUGCGGCAAGUUGGAAGUGAAAUCUCUGGGCUUAACCCAGAGGCUGCUUUCAAAACUGCCGCGCUCGAGUGCGAGAGAGGCCAGUGGAAUUGCAGGUGUAGCGGUGAAAUGCGUAGAUAUCUGCAGGAACACCCGUGGCGAAGGCGGCUGGCUGGAUCGCAACUGACACUGAGGAACGAAAGCUAGGGGAGCAAACAGG